AGGUCUUAAGAUGUAUUAGCCUGGGCCUUGUUGAGGAUAACACCUUCGUACUUGACCUGGAACCACUUCAUGGCAUCCUCCUUGGUCACCCGGUGCUGAAUGCCAACACGGGACUUGCACCUGCGACGGCGAGCAACACGGUAUCCAGCACGCUCAAGGACAACAUAGAAGUCCAUGCCAUAAAUACCUGUUGAAAAUCUUACUUGAUGCCAAGAUCAAUGUGCUCCUGGAUUCCAAAACCAAAACACCCAGUUUCACUGAAGUUUCUUCUCAGAAGUUCAUAUUCCUUCACCUUCAGUCCACUCUCAAGAAGCUGCAUUGCCUUCUCACCCCUAACAGUUACAUAGCACGCAAUCUUCUCAUUACGCCUGAUGCCAAAUGAGCGAACGGUGUAUCUAGCUGAAGAAAGUGGACAACCAAAACAACUCCUGGCCAAACCUUGGAGGCACGGGUGAGGCGAUCUCCGCUCUCCCCGACGGAGAUGUUGAGCACCAGCUUCUGCACCUUGAUCUCCCUCAUUGGGUUGGACUGCUUCUUCUCCGACGCC
rnacentral:sRNA from 1 species